rnacentral:rRNA from 1 species
AACGAACGCUGGCGGCAGGCUUAACACAUGCAAGUCGAGCGCCCCGCCAGGGGAGCGGCAGACGGGUGAGUAACGCGUGGGAACGUACCUUUUGGUUCGGAACAACUCCGGGAAACUGGAGCUAAUACCGGAUAAGCCCUAACGGGGAAAGAUUUAUCGCCGAAAGAUCGGCCCGCGUCUGAUUAGCUAGUUGGUGAGGUAACGGCUCACCAAGGCGACGAUCAGUAGCUGGUCUGAGAGGAUGUUCAGCCACACUGGGACUGAGACACGGCCCAGACUCCUACGGGAGGCAGCAGUGGGGAAUAGUGGACAAUGGGCGCAAGCCUGAUCCAGCCAUGCCGCGUGAGUGAUGAAGGCCUUAGGGUUGUAAAGCUCUUUUGUCCGGGAAGAUAAUGACUGUACCGGAAGAAUAAGCCCCGGCUAACUUCGUG